GCCUAUUCACAUUGUAUCUAUCAAUGGAAAAUAAGGGUAUAAACUUACCAUUUUUUUUUUAAAUUAGGAAGAAAUAAAAAGGGGAAAGCGGAUGCAGACCUGGAUGCUCAAGAAGAACCCAACAGAUUUUGUAUGUCUUUCUGUAGAAUGAGAAGGAAGAGAAAUCACAAAGAAGCUUACCCUUUCGCCUGAGAAUCUUAUGGAGCAGCAACAUACGACUUCGAAUUUCAGAGUUAUGCAGCAAAAAUCUUGCAAUUUUGAUCUAAUUUUCAUACAAUAAUCCUAGAUUCACGCCCGAUUUUUGUAUUUAAAGAAAAAAAAAUCACAUUGUUGAAGGAGUGAAGGAGUCUGAUAGAGAGGAGAGAAAGUGAGUUGUUGCCCUAAUCGUUCGAAUAAUCCGUCUUUUGACCAAGUUAUUUUUAUUUUUUAGACGGA
rnacentral:lncRNA from 1 species